rnacentral:SRP_RNA from 1 species
CGAUGGGGCCUCUGCAUCUGACAUCCAGCGAACCCCGCCAGGUCCGGAAGGAAGCAACGGUAGUUGGAUUGCCAGAGUGCCGGAGUCACCCUGUCGGGU